UUUUUUCUAACAUUGCUUUGCGUGGAAUAAGCCUAGCUUUUCUGCGCAGAGGUUAUCAAAACACAAGAUUUUUAUAUCUUUUAUUACAAAUUCUAGUCAAGAAGUUUUAUUAAAAACAAAUCUUCAAAACUUUCAACAACGGAUCUCUUGGUUCUCGCAACGAUGAAGAACGCAGCGAAAUGCGAUACGUAAUGUGAAUUGCAGGUUUUCGUGAAUCAUCGAAUCUUUGAACGCAUAUUGCGCCCUUCGGUAUUCCGAAGGGCAUGCCUGUUUGAGCGUCAUUUCUCUCUCAAACCUUCGGGUUUGGUAUUGAGUGAUACUCUCUUUCUGGGUUAACUUGAAAUACUGUGGCAAGAGCUGCUUUGCAGGAUCUCCUCUGAACUAACGUUUCUAGGUUCUACCAAUUCGUUAUGGACAGUGUGUGCUGAACGCAUGGCUUUUGGGCUCGGCCUAACAAUUUCUUCAUAAGUUUGACCUCAAAUCAGGUAGGAUUACCCGCUGAACUUAAGCAUAUCA
rnacentral:rRNA from 1 species